rnacentral:rRNA from 1 species
GUGUCAGCCGCCGCGGUAAUACGAGCAUCACAAACGUUAUUCGGAAUUACUGGGCUUAAAGGGUGCGUAGGCGGUGCAGCAAGUCGGGAGUGAAAUCCCACAGCUCAACUGUGGAAUUGCUUUCGAUACUGCUGUGCUUGAGUGAGAUAGAGGUAAGCGGAACUUAGGGUGGAGCGGUGAAAUGCGUUGAUAUCCUAAGGAACACCGGUGGCGAAGGCGGCUUACUGGGUCUCUACUGACGCUGAUGCACGAAAGCCAGGGUAGCGAACGGGAUUAGAAACCCUGGUAGUCC